rnacentral:lncRNA from 1 species
CCACAGAGCUGAAUUAAAUAGCAUUGGGAGGCAUAGUUGCAGGCUGAGGAAGAGUGCUGUUUUCUGGUGUCUGAGGCAUCUGGGGCAGAGGUGGUAGAACUAGCUGGGUAAGGAGGUCCUCUUUAUCACCAUGAACUUGCAAGGUCUGUCCACAGAUGACCAGUUCUCCUUGGCUAUUAGACCCAGAGGACUUUCUCCAUAAGACAGGUGAAAAGUCUGACAGGAGUCUUAGGUGUACAGCGUAAUGUAAAUUUGAAAAUAGUUACUCCAUCUGUUUAUUCUAUUUUGGUCUUGGGGUUCAAGGGUUUCUGAACCUGAGGUAAGGUUACACUUUGUUUCAUGAAAGUUCUAGUUUUUUUUUUCUUUGUUGAAGGAAACCAAACCAUUCACAGAUUCAUUGACUGAAGUGCUUUCCUGUGACUUGAAAGAUGAGUAGACGAGCCACCUGUCUUCCUGAAUUGUCACCAGUCACACUGCAAAUCUUGAUAUCCCAUAGAUCAUAAAAGCUGUAGGAGGCUGAUUCAGGGGCACUAGUCACUUACCUGAUGCAUGGCUAUUAAGCAGGGGGACAGAGCAAGGAUGCACACAUAGUUCAUGAUUUUGUUCCUUUUGUUUGAACACCAGUGUGCUGAACUGUGAAGUUGACAUGGCAUUUACUGGCUUGCAUUGUUCAGGUAAGUGGGCAGAAAGAUAAAGGAAGACCAAUUUCCCCUCCACCCCAGCACUGCUUUUGAUAGUGUCAAAAAGGAAAGCUUGGUCUGAGCAAAACUCCACGGUUAGGCCAGUGGGAGCACACAGGGUACUCAGGAAGCGCUGCAGGGGAGAGCGACGAGGAGAUAGUUAUGGCUAUGGCAUUGGUGGAACUCUGCUGGUGGGCAUGGGUUGUGCAGGAGGUGAUACUUAUGACUCAUCUAGAC